GACGAACGCUGGCGGCGUGCUUAACACAUGCAAGUCGAACGGAAAGGCCCUGCUUGCAGGGUACUCGAGUGGCGAACGGGUGAGUAACACGUGGGUGAUCUGCCCUGCACUUCGGGAUAAGCCUGGGAAACUGGGUCUAAUACCGGAUAGGAGCCAUUUUUAGUGUGAUGGUUGGAAAGUUUUUUCGGUGUAGGAUGAGCUCGCGGCCUAUCAGCUUGUUGGUGGGGUAAUGGCCUACCAAGGCGGCGACGGGUAGCCGGCCUGAGAGGGUGGACGGCCACAUUGGGACUGAGAUACGGCCCAGACUCCUACGGGAGGCAGCAGUGGGGAAUAUUGCACAAUGGGCGCAAGCCUGAUGCAGCGACGCCGCGUGGGGGAUGACGGCCUUCGGGUUGUAAACUCCUUUCGCUAGGGACGAAGCUUUUUUGACGGUACCUAGAUAAGAAGCACCGGCUAACUACGUG
rnacentral:rRNA from 1 species